UACGAGGGGGGCGAGCGUUGUUCGGAAUUAUUGGGCGUAAAGGGCGCGUAGGCGGUCGGAUAAGUCUUGUGUGAAAUCUUCGGGCUCAACUCGAAGUCUGCACAGGAAACUAUCUGGCUUGAGCGUGGGAGAGGAAAGCGGAAUUCCUGGUGUAGCGGUGAAAUGCGUAGAUAUCAGGAGGAACACCUGCGGUGUAGACGGCUUUCUGGACCAUUGCUGACGCUGAGACACGAAAGCGUGGGUAGCAAACAGG
rnacentral:rRNA from 1 species